rnacentral:rRNA from 1 species
UACGGAGGAGGCAAGCGUUAUCCGGAAUUAUUGGGCGUAAAGCGUCCGCAGGUGGCACUUCAAGUCUGUCGUCAAAGACUGGGGCUUAACCCUGGAAAGGCGGUGGAAACUGAAGCGCUAGAGUGCGGUAGGGGUAGAGGGAAUUCCCAGUGUAGUGGUGGAAUGCGUAGAUAUCGGGAGGAACACCAGUGGCGAAGGCGGUUGCCUGGGGCUUUGCUGACGCUGAUGCGCGAAAGCGUGGGGAGCGAUCCGG